UACGAAGGGGGCUAGCGUUGUUCGGAAUUACUGGGCGUAAAGCGUGCGUAGACGGUUAUUUAAGUCGGGUGUGAAAGCCCCGGGCUCAACCUGGGAAUUGCAUUCGAGACUGAAUAGCUAGGGUACGGUAGAGGGAAGCGGAAUUUCCGGUGUAGCGGUGAAAUGCGUAGAUAUCGGAAGGAACAUCAGUGGCGAAAGCGGCUUCCUGGACCAGUACCGACGUUCAGGCACGAAAGCGUGGGGAGCAAACAGG
rnacentral:rRNA from 1 species